rnacentral:tRNA from 1 species
AGAUAAUGAAGUAAAAAUUACAUUUAGUUUCGACCUAAUAAUAAAGAGAAUUAUACUCUUCUUAUCUA